GAUGAACGCUGGCGGCGUGCCUAAUACAUGCAAGUCGAGCGAACAGACGAGGAGCUUGCUCCUCUGACGUUAGCGGCGGACGGGUGAGUAACACGUGGAUAACCUACCUAUAAGACUGGGAUAACUUCGGGAAACCGGAGCUAAUACCGGAUAAUAUAUUGAACCGCAUGGUUCAAUAGUGAAAGACGGUUUUGCUGUCACUUAUAGAUGGAUCCGCGCCGCAUUAGCUAGUUGGUAAGGUAACGGCUUACCAAGGCAACGAUGCGUAGCCGACCUGAGAGGGUGAUAGGCCACACUUGAACUGAGACACGGUCCAGACUCCUACGGGAGGCAGCAGUAGGGAAUCUUCCGCAAUGGGCGAAAGCCUGACGGAGCAACGCCGCGUGAGUGAUGAAGGUCUUCGGAUCGUAAAACUCUGUUAUUAGGGAAGAACAAAUGUGUAAGUAACUAUGCACGUCUUGACGGUACCUAAUCAGAAAGCCACGGCUAACUACGUG
rnacentral:rRNA from 1 species